rfam:Dipodomys ordii contig_21912, whole genome shotgun sequence.
GGGAAUGUGACUUAGUGGUAGAGUGCUUGCCUGGCAUGCAUGAGGCCCUGGGUUUGACUCUUCAGUACCA